UUAUUCCUACGGGGGGCAGCAGUGAGGAAUAUUGGUCAAUGGACGCAAGUCUGAACCAGCCGUGCCGCGUGCAGGAUGACGGCUCUAUGAGUUGUAAACUGCUUUUGUACGAGGGUAAACCCCGAUACGUGUAUCGGGUUGAAAGUAUCGUACGAAUAAGGAUCGGCUAACUCCGUGCCAGCAGCCGCGGUAAUACGGAGGAUCCGAUCGUUAUCCGGAUUUAUUGGGUUUAAAGGGUGCGUAGGCGGUCCGGAAAGUCAGCGGUAAAAGCCCGGGGCUCAACCCCGGCGAGCCGUUGAAACUGU
rnacentral:rRNA from 1 species